rnacentral:rRNA from 1 species
AAACAUGGCUCUUUGAAUUAUUUUUAUAAAGAGUCAGGCCUGCCCAGUGAAAUUUACUUUAACGGCCGCGGUACUCUGACCGUGCAAAGGUAGCAUAAUCAUUUGCCUUAUAAUUGAAGGCUAGUAUGAAUGGUUUAACGAGAGCAGCACUGUCUCUUUUUUAUUUUCAAGAACUUAACCUUUAGGUGAAGAGGCCUAAAUUUUAUUGAAGGACAAGAAGACCCUGUCGAGCUUAAAAGACACUAUAGAAGUUUAUAUAUACCUAAAUAAAUUUUCUGUUAAGCUUUUUAGUUGGGGCGACUAAGGAACAAAAAAAGCUUCUUAAGUAAAACAAACAUUCAAGUUUUGAUCCGGUGAUAGCCGAUUUAAGGAAUUAGUUACCGCAGGGAUAACAGCAUAAUCUCUCUUGAGAGACCUAAUCGAAAGAGGGGGUUGUGACCUCGAUGUUGGACUAGAAUAUCCUAAAGAUGCAGAAGUCUUUAAGGGUCGGUCUGUUCGACCGUUAAAAUUUUACGUGAUC